CAAAGCUUAGGGUUUAAGAGAAUUGUUGUAGGUGCUUUACAACCACUUGGAUGUCUUCCUCAAACCACUGCUGAAUCCUCGUUCCAACGUUGCAAUAGUACAUUUAACGACCUCGUAGCUCUCCAUAACAACCUAUUGAACCAAUCCGUGGCCAAAUUGAACCAAGAAACCAAGGAUCACACCACCUUUACAAUUCUAGACAUUUUUGACAGUUUUGCGUCGGUGUUGAACCACCCUGCAAGCCAUAAUAUCAAGGAUCAUUUGAAGCCAUGUUGCGCGGGAGUA
rnacentral:lncRNA from 1 species